rnacentral:rRNA from 1 species
GACGAACGCUGGCGGCGUGCCUAAUACAUGCAAGUCGAGCGAACAGAUGAGAAGCUUGCUUCUCUGAUGUUAGCGGCGGACGGGUGAGUAACACGUGGGUAACCUACCUAUAAGACUGGGAUAACUCCGGGAAACCGGGGCUAAUACCGGAUAAUAUUUUGAACCGCAUGGUUCAAUAGUGAAAGACGGUUUCGGCUGUCACUUAUAGAUGGACCCGCGCCGUAUUAGCCAGUUGGUAAGGUAAUGGCUUACCAAGGCGACGAUACGUAGCCGACCUGAGAGGGUGAGCGGCCACACUGGAACUGAGACACGGUCCAGACUCCUACGGGAGGCAGCAGUAGGGAAUCUUCCGCAAUGGGCGAAAGCCUGACGGAGCAACGCCGCGUGAGUGAUGAAGGUCUUCGGAUCGUAAAACUCUGUUGUUAGGGAAGAACAAAUUUGUUAGUAACUGAACAAGUCUUGACGGUACCUAACCAGAAAGCCACGGCUAACUACGUGCCAGCAGCCGCCGUAA